AACGAACGCUGGCGGCAUGCCUAACACAUGCAAGUCGAACGAUGCCUUCGUGCCUAGUGGCGCACGGGGGGGUGAAGCGUGGGAACCUGCCCUGUGGUACGGAAUAACUCCGGGAAAUUGGAGCUAAUACCGUCUGCUUCCCCUGGGACAAAGCUUUGUCGCGACGGGAUGGGCCCGCGUAGGAUUAGCUUGUUGGUGGGGUAACGGCCUAUCAAGGCUACGAUCCUUAGAUGGUCUGAGAGGAUGAUCAGCCACACUGGGACUGAGACACGGCCCAGACUCCUAAGUGGUGGAGCAGUGUGGAAUAUGGGACAAUGGGCGCAAGCCUGAUGCAGCAAUGCCGCGUGAGUGAUGCAGGCCGUAGGGUUGUAAAACUCAUGAGCACGCGACGAUGAUGGCGGUAGCGGGAGAAGAAGCCCCGGCUAACUUCGUG
rnacentral:rRNA from 1 species